rnacentral:rRNA from 1 species
CCCUACGGACGCAGCAGUGGGGAAUAUUGCACAAUGGGGGAAACCCUGAUGCAGCAACGCCGCGUGAGUGAAGAAGUAUUUCGGUAUGUAAAGCUCUAUCAGCAGGGAAGAGAAUGACGGUACCUGACUAAGAAGCCCCGGCUAACUACGUGCCAGCAGCCGCGGUAAUACGUAGGGGGCAAGCGUUAUCCGGAUUUACUGGGUGUAAAGGGAGCGUAGACGGUGCAGCAAGUCUGAUGUGAAAGGUCGGGGCCCAACCCCGGGACUGCAUUGGAAACUGUUGAACUGGAGUACAGGAGAGGUAA